UGAAUUACAUGGAACCGGCUAUUGUUCAUAAGUGGAAGAUGGAUCAGCAGAGUCAUUUCCAGCAUCAAUUGCACCUUGGUGGGGUGGUUGCAGUAGGAGGAGACAUGAGGGCUGAUUCUCCAGGGCACUCCGCAAAGUUUGGCAGCUACACUCUAAUGAAUCUGGAGAGCAACACCAUUAUGGACAUCCAACUUGUUCAGAGCAAUGAAGUAGGUGGCAGCUAUCAUAUGGAGAAGGAAGGACUGAAAAGAUGCCUAGAUCAUCUGUAGUCGAAUGGAUUGAAGGUGGAUUACAUUGUGACAGACCGUCAUCCACAGAUCCAGAAAUUUCUGAGGGAACGCAGCGUAACUCAGUUCUAUGACGUUUGGCACUUUGAGAAAGGUUUGUCCAAGAAACUUGAGAAAGCUUCGCACAAUGAAGACUGUGAUGUUCUGAAGAAGUGGCUACAGAGCAUCAAAAACCAUGUCUACUGGUGUGCCACGUCAUCAAGCACUGGACCAGAAAAGGUGGCAAAAUGGACAUCACUGCUAAACCACCUACAAAAUGUUCAUGUUCAUGAAGACCCCCUUUUCCCCAAAUGUCUGCAUCCCGACCACGUCUCAA